rnacentral:rRNA from 1 species
GACGAACGCUGGCGGCGUGCCUAAUACAUGCAAGUCGAACGCAGUGGGGACGGGUGAGUAACAAGUGGGUAACCUCCCAUCAGAGGGGAUAACACUUGGAAACAGGUGCUAAACCGAUACUGAUGGAUGGACCCGCGGUGCAUUAGCUAGUUGGUGAGGUAACGGCUCACAAAGUCCACGAUGCAUAGCCUGCCUGAGAGUGGGAUCGGACACACUGGUAAUGAGACACGGCCCAGACGCCGACGCGUGUCAGCAGGAGGUAAUCUUCGGAAAUGGACGAAAGUCUGACCGAGAAACGCCGCGUGAGUGAAGAAGUUUUGCGGAUCGUAAAACUCUUUUUUUAGAGAAGCGGUAUCUAACCAGAAAGCCACGGCUAACUACGUGCCAGCAGCCGCGGUAAUUC